ACGUUAGCGGCGGACGGGUGAGUAACACGUGGGUAACCUACCUAUAAGACUGGGGUAACUUCGGGAAACCGGAGCUAAUACCGGAUAAUAUUUCGAACCGCAUGGUUCGAUAGUGAAAGAUGGUUUUGCUAUCACUUAUAGAUGGACCUGCGCCGUAUUAGCUAGUUGGUAAGGUAACGGCUUACCAAGGCACGAUACGUAGCCGACCUGAGAGGGUGAUCGGCCACACUGGAACUGAGACACGGUCCAGACUCCUACGGGAGGCAGCAGCG
rnacentral:rRNA from 1 species